UUUUUAUGAGAGUUUGAUCCUGGCUCAGGACGAACGCUGGCGGCGUGCCUAAUACAUGCAAGUCGUACGCUUCUUUUUCCACCGGAGCUUGCUCCACCGGAAAAAGAAGAGUGGCGAACGGGUGAGU
rnacentral:rRNA from 1 species